GGGAAGGUGGCUCAGGGUAGAGUGCUUGCCUUGUAUGCAUGAGGCCCUGGGUUCGAAGGUGGCUCAGUGCUAGAGCGUUUGCCUUGCAUGCCUG
rnacentral:tRNA from 1 species